UACCAACAACCUAACAAUCACCUUAAAUAACACUUCAUUGCUCCAUCUCCCUAUACAUUAUAACCCUGAAAUUCAAAACAUAUAAAUUUUAAGUCAGCUGAC